AGAGUUUGAUCCUGGCUCAGGAUGAACGCUGGCGGCGUGCUUAACACAUGCAAGUCGAACGAACCUUCGGGUUAGUGGCGGACGGGUGAGUAACGCGUGAGAAUCUGCCCUCAGGAGGGGGAUAACGGCUGGAAACGGCCGCUAAUACCCCAUAUGCCGAGAGGUGAAACGAGUUUUCGCCUGAGGAUGAGCUCGCGUCUGAUUAGCUAGUUGGUGGGGUAAGAGCCUACCAAGGCAUCGAUCAGUAGCUGGUCUGAGAGGAUGAUCAGCCACACUGGGACUGAGACACGGCCCAGACUCCUACGGGAGGCAGCAGUGGGGAAUUUUCCGCAAUGGGCGAAAGCCUGACGGAGCAACGCCGCGUGAGGGAUGAAGGCCUCUGGGCUGUAAACCUCUUUUAUCAAGGAAGAAGAUCUGACGGUACUUGAUGAAUAAGCCACGGCUAAUUCCGUGCCAGCAGCCGCGGUAAUACGGGAGUGGCAAGCGUUAUCCGGAAUUAUUGGGCGUAAAGCGUCCGCAGGCGGCCUGAUAAGUCUGUUGUCAAAGCGUGGAGCUCAACUCCAUUUCGGCAAUGGAAACUGUGAGGCUUGAGUGUGGUAGGGGCAAAGGGAAUUCCCGGUGUAGCGGUGAAAUGCGUAGAUAUCGGGAAGAACACCAGUGGCGAAGGCGCUCUGCUGGGCCAUAACUGACGCUCAUGGACGAAAGCCAGGGGAGCGAAAGGGAUUAGAUACCCCUGUAGUCCUGGCCGUAAACGAUGAACACUAGGUGUCGGGGGAAUCGACCCCCUCGGUGUCGUAGCCAACGCGUUAAGUGUUCCGCCUGGGGAGUACGCACGCAAGUGUGAAACUCAAAGGAAUUGACGGGGGCCCGCACAAGCGGUGGAGUAUGUGGUUUAAUUCGAUGCAACGCGAAGAACCUUACCAGGGUUUGACAUCCUGCGAAUCCCUUGGAAACGAGGGAGUGCCUUCGGGAGCGCAGAGACAGGUGGUGCAUGGCUGUCGUCAGCUCGUGUCGUGAGAUGUUGGGUUAAGUCCCGCAACGAGCGCAUCCCACGUCUUUAGUUGCCAGCAUUGAGUUGGGCACUCUAGAGAGACCGCCGGUGAUAAACCGGAGGAAGGUGUGGAUGACGUCAAGUCAUCAUGCCCCUUACAUCCUGGGCUACACACGUACUACAAUGCUACGGACAAAGGGCAGCAAACUCGCGAGAGCUAGCAAAUCCCAUAAACCGUGGCUCAGUUCAGAUCGUAGGCUGCAACUCGCCUACGUGAAGGAGGAAUCGCUAGUAAUCGCAGGUCAGCAUACUGCGGUGAAUACGUUCCCGGGCCUUGUACACACCGCCCGUCACACCAUGGAAGUUGGCCACGCCCGAAGCCGUUACUCCAACCCUUGUGGAGGAGGACGUCGAAGGUGGGGCUGAUGA
rnacentral:rRNA from 1 species